GGGGCCAUAGCUCAGCUGGUAGAGCACUUGCCUGGCAGGCAAGGGGUCAGGGGUUCGAGUCCCCUUGGCUCCA
rnacentral:tRNA from 1 species